rnacentral:rRNA from 1 species
UAAGCCAUGCGAGUCAACAUAGCAAUAUGUGGCAUACGGCUCAGUAACACGUAGUCAACAUGCCCAGGGGACGUGGAUAACCUCGGGAAACUGAGGAUAAACCACGAUAAGUCACUACUUCUGGAAUGGGUAAUGACUCAAAUCUACAUGGCCCCUGGAUUGGACUGCGGCCGAUCAGGCUGUUGGUGAGGUAAUGGCCCACCAAACCUGUAACCGGUACGGGCUCUGAGAGGAGGAGCCCGGAGAUGGGCACUGAGACAAGGGCCCAGGCCCUAUGGGGCGCAGCAGGCGCGAAGCCUCUGCAAUAGGCGAAAGCCUGACAGGGUUACUCUGAGUGAUUUCCGUUAAGGAGAUCUUUUGGCACCUCUAAAAAUGGUGCAGAAUAAGGGGUGGGCAAGUCUGGUGUCAGCCGCCGCGGUAAUACCAGCACCCCGAGUGGUCGGGACGUUUAUUGGGCCUAAAGCAUCCGUAGCCGGUUCUACAAGUCUUCCGUUAAAUCCACCUGCUUAACAGAUGGGCUGCGGAAGAUACUAUGGAGCUAGGAGGCGGGAGAGGCAAGCGGUACUCGAUGGGUAGGGGUAAAAUCCGUUGAUCCAUUGAAGACCACCAGUGGCGAAGGCGGCUUGCCAGAACGCGCUCGACGGUGAGGGAUGAAAGCUGGGGGAGCAAACCGGAUUAGAUACCCGGGUAGUCCCAGCUGUAAACGAUGCAGACUCGGUGAUGAGUUGGCUAUAUGCCAACUCAGUGCCGCAGGGAAGCCGUUAAGUUUGCCGCCUGGGGAGUACGGUCGCAAGACUGAAACUUAAAGGAAUUGGCGGGGGAGCACCACAAGGGGUGAAG